GUAAAGUAGUAGUUUUAUGCUAUUUACUCAAUGGAAUCAGAUUCUGUCAACAGAGAUGACCCGUCUGAAGAGGCGAGGGUGCUGCCAUUGGCUCUGUUUGCCAUGGAACACAACAGCAAGAAGCGGCUGCUGUUCGAUGUUUCCAGCGGAAACAUCUGCGGGAUAACCAGCGCGCUGUUUCCAGACGCCUUUGUCGAAUUCGAGAGCUGCGGCUGGCUUCUCAUGGUCCGACACAAGCCAUUCCACUUCCAAGAGCAGGUCGUCUUCCUAGUCCACCCUAGCACCGGCAGGCGGAUCGACAUGCCGGUGCUUCGCUCCCCCGACAAGUGCUACUUCGUUUUCUACGCUGAUCCUCGUCGCGGAAGUGGGGCUCCCCUGGUUGUUGCGUGCGUCCAGAUCAUGAGCGUCGUUCCGACCGUCCAUGUCGCGUGCCCUGGAGACGUGUACUGGUGCGUCCACAAGCAUACCUGCCAACUGCACCUGUCGGAAGCAAUGUGCAAAUCCUUCCACAACACUUUGAUCAUGGACGUGGCACUGGUCGGGACACAGGCCGUCUGCGCCGAAUUUCUCGGGCAGAUCCUGAUCUUCGACAUCACAGAAAUGGCCUGGAGAGCGGCCUCUUGUCCAGAGUGGAGCAUACAAGACGCCCACUACCUUGUUGCGUCCAUUGGGAAAGUUGUGAUUGUAUCGUGUCCCCGUGCGAGUGCUUUCAAGUUCUUGCAGCUGGACAUGGAAGCGCUGGCGUGGUCGCCCCUCGAUGACCAGGAGCUUGAGGACACCAGCUGGUUUCUUUCCCAGGGCCAGUCCAUCCGUGUGAAGGAGGAAGGCAGGAGGAAAGUCUACACUUUCCAUCCAAGAGGACGUGGUAACUUAGCGACAGAGAGCUCGGAUGGAUGGACAAUAACAUCAGGGCCUGCCACAUUGAAGACCAUCACAAAUAUUUAUGCAUCUAUAUCUAUAUCUAUAUCUAUAUCUAUACUACUAUUAAAAGAGUAAAUAUACCCCCCUCUAAAGCCACACAGCGAAGUGUAUACAAAAAUACCGGAGACGUUAGAUCAAUCAAACUAAAUUACAUCCAAAGUCUGCCACACAAACUAACGCUUCAGAUUAAAUGUUCUGCCAGGCAGACCACCCCACGCACGUCCUGCCCCUCCGCACAUCACGCCGCUAAACGCAUUUGAACCCAACAAAUUAUCCACUGCCCCAAUGGCGCCCCUGCCUUUCUUCCCCACCGCUAUGCUCCCCUCUCCCCACGGACGCCUCCCAGCCUCUGCCGCCGCCCCGCGCGACGGACGCCAUCCCUCCCCUAUUUCCCUCUUCACCUCCACGGCCACGCCGCGUCGCCGCCCGAGCCCCACUGCGGUCGCUAUGAUCCGCCGCGCCGCCCCACACCCGAAGCUGCAGUCGAGAUGCAUCUGAGCGAGAACGAGGGGAUCGAGGGCGUGCGGUUCGCGGUGACUGGCGGGCAGGGCUUCGUCGGCGCCGCGCUAUGCCUAGAGUUGAUCCGCCGCGGCGCCCUGGAGGUCUGCUCCCUCGACGGCUCGACCUGCGCGAUUCCUCCUCUUGGUCCCAGCAGCUCCUCGACGCCAGUGUCCGCUUCUUCCAAGGUUCUCUCCCUCACUCUCUUUUGCUUAAAUUACUGUGGGUUUUUUCUUAUGUCGCCAUGAGUGGGCGUGAGACUUAAAUGAAGCGUCGCAGGGAAGAAGGUAAUUUGUUUUUCUGUCCAAUGCAUUGAAGCUAUAAUGUACGUGCUUAGUAAAUUGUUUAGGGCGGUGUGGGACUUAUAAUGCCUGCCAAGUGCCAACUUAGUGAAUUGAUAAACCAGGAAUUUUGUGUUUUUUACUUCACUUGAUUUUGCACAAUUCAGUUAUGUGUCCACUGAAUGGAUUUGACAUGACAUUUCCUGCAGGCAAUGAGGGAAGUAGAUGGGCAUGGCUGAUCUGUUCGUCAUGCAGUUAUGUGCUAUCUUAUUCCUUGAUACUGAGUGUGAGCCCAUGCAUGUGCAAGCUAUAUGUACUCUUAAGCUAUUAGUGUUCUCUAACUUAUUUCCUACUAUUCCUGUAUGGUACCACUUUUUCCCUAGCAAGGAUAUGUGAGCCUAUUAACCUUAUGUUGUCUGUCAAUGUCAGAUUUAGAACCCAGCAAAGAAAUAUGGCAGAAAUUUGCAUAUUAACCUUUCUUGUGCAGGUUUGAGAUAUAAAUGUCACACAGAUGCUUCUUUGCCAUGAGUGUGUAAACUUAAUAUGAGGCAACAUGGUCUUCGGCACAAGAAAUACCCAUGGACGUGAGUGCGGGCUGCCGCUCCGGCCUCCACUCCUCUGCUUGACCACCGCUGCCACCACGUUGAGGCCCUCGCCACCAAGCGGCAUGCUUUCCCGUGAGCUAGCUUCUUCAACACAUGUUUCUCUGAAUUUCUACAAGCUAAAUUAGUACAUGCUUCUCUGAACGUUAGCCUGUAUUGGAUGCUUGUAUGUUAUGAUUUGCCCAAUCUGCUCUUCCUACACCCAUGGAUAGGGACAAAGGGCAGGUACACAAAUAGCCAAGAACACAAGGAGACGUGCAGGUCUGCGUUUCUGAGUUAUAUCUCUUUUAGCACCAGCAAUUAAAUGGUAUGUAGCUGGUCAGGCGUGCUUGCCUAAAAUGUACUUUAGUAGUUGCUAGAUCCAUGCUAGCUUCUAUGUUGUUCUUGCAGCCUCAGCUAGCUAAUUUUAUUUAAAGCAAAUGUUGUUCUAUCCUUCCAAUUACUGUUAUUCAGUUCUUCUUUUCUUUUUUCUGUUGUCAUUCACAGUACAAAUGUUAUGAGAAUUUCAUGAAUUUUGUCAUAUCUUUCUCCCAGUUACCUUAAUUUUGUAAAUUGUGGUCUAAUUCAAUUUUGAGUUUGUUUUCAGAAAAGCCUACUUUAAAGCUGUGUAAAUCCAUUAUUUCCUUUGAGUUUGCCGUGGAGGUGAGUUGGGAACCUUUUUUAUACUUGGUGGAUGCACUGAUGUAGUGACGGAGACUUGCCUGAAUGUUGUUUUCCUCCGCGCGAAGUGCUUACAAUUCUCAAAGGCGUCAACAAGUCCAGGAGGAGAUUGACAAGUUGGUUUGGUACCAUCAGCCGAUUGGCCAGUUGGAAAACCAGCGGGGAAAACAUGAAUUCUUGUUGUAAAGAGCGAAGGCAUGGUUUGGUUUGCAUGACAUUAUCUUCAAUUGGCUGGAGAUAUAUAAAUGUUGAUACUUGAUUUUCUCACCUGGCAUUUUAUCACUUCUGUGAAAGACACUCCAUUUUCUCAUAGUAAUAGUUCGUUAUUAUUGUUGAUACAUAAAUGGAUCUUUAUUGAAUGGUACUUGUAUGUGUGUAUGGAGAAUGGUGAUUAACCUUUUAAAUAAUCUAUUAUCCAA